rnacentral:tRNA from 1 species
GCCCUUGUAGUUUAAUGGAUAAAACGACUCUCUCCUAAGGAGUAACUGCAGGUUCGAUUCCUGCCGAGGGCAC